UAUAUACGCCUAUACUCUCCAAAACCAUAUAUCAAUGUUUUCGAUAAAUGCAAACCUGGUGAAAUAGUGGCGCUGUUGUCAAUAAAGGUCUAAGGUUAAGUUAGCUUAACAUUAUAUUCAAUGCUUAUUUAAAAAAUAAAUUGAUAGAUGCGUUUGAUCCCAUAAUUUUUUCAAGUGAUAUGUUUUCGUUGUGCAUAACAAAAAUGUUGAGUUAAUACCAAUUUACAGAAAAUCAUUUGCAUAACCACACUGUCUACAUAUAUAUCAUAAAAUGAUACUUUACUCAUAAUGUGUUUGUUGCGAAUUAUUCGAUAUCAACAACAUCCUAUUUUUCUAUUAACUGCAAGGUCGUUUUUUUUCAGGGAAUCGUUACUAAUUAAUCCAUCCAAAGGGAAGAGUAAUGUCGUCGUUGAAUUUAAAAGAGAUUUCAACGCCACGUUUAGGUUAUCUAUUAAAUAAGAAUACAAGAAGCAAAAGAUUCUAUCAAACAUUUACGAAGUUGGUUGAAGGACAUUAUUAACAGGUCCAGUUAAUAUAUUGAAAGUAAAUAUGAAAGAAGCAAUUAAACGAAUUAAGAAGGCAACAAAAAAUAGUGAUAGGCCGUAACCACAAUGGAAAGAUUUUUUGGAAUAUUUAUAUUCACAGUUAUUAAUUUCUUUGUCAAUUAUUCUGAUAAUAGCAAUGUUAAAUAUAUGGAUCCCAAAAAGACACCAUAAUACAUAAAUGUAUUGACAAAAAUAGUAUAAAGUAAAGGAAAUGUUUCUACAAGGAAUAUUUUGGAAAUGCUUCUGUGAAUAUCAUUCGUGUUGGGUCGCAUAUAUAUUGCACAAUACUUAAAUAUGCUACCAUUGUCAAUGAUGGUGGGAGGAAAGACAAUAAUACAUUAGGAAGACUCUUGAAAGAACUGAAGAAAGCAUUAUCUACAGUCAAGGACGUGAAUUAUAUAGAAAACGAAUUAAAAGAGAAAAUCCAAAACGAUAAAGGAUCGGUAAUUGUAUAAGCUUGUCACAAAUAAGAAAUAGAUGACAAAAAAUGAAAUAGAUUAUGUAAACUAUCUGGAAAUAUAACAUUUUAGAGGAAUAAUCGAAUCUUAACAGCAAAAUCAUGGAGAAAGAACAAUGAGUUAAAGGAUCUUUCACAAGAGAUUUUUCAUCAGAGUCAUUUUGACAAGAAGUUGAAAAGGAGCCGCCUGAAGAAAACAAAAUGUGGAAAUGGAAUAAAGGAUUCAGACCAAAUAAUCUGGAUUUAGAGCAUCGAAGAAAAGAGCCUUCAACAAUACGGAACAAGCUACAAGGAUGUUACACAAACGCGAGCCUCUUGUGAAAGUCAAAUUUAGCAGCAACAAAUGAUACGACAGCUUGCAGACUGCAACAGAGUAUUCUAAGAUUUACACAUCAAUGAAGAAAUAAUCGAAAGGAUGAAAAUAUUAAAUAUAUGUACUCUAAUAUUCGAUCUCCUCUCUGAGGAAAUAAUGAUGGAAAGCAGAACGGUACCAUGAAAAAGGAUAUUAAUCCGCAAAAGCAUAGUAAUAACACAAACACAUUCUAGUAAAAUCACCUGUCAGCUGAUUGAUUGUUAAACGUACUGGUUAUUGUAAUAACAAUCGAAAAAAGAAAUUUUAAUUCAUUUUUAAAUUGCAAUUAACAUGUAGGUAAUAUACUUUAAUACGAAUUUUAAAUAAGCCAAACUUUUCAUAAAGCUCAUAUAUUAUACAAUUUCCAAACAUUAGCAAAUUUCUUAUAGUUUUAUAGUCUACAAUCAUAAA